rnacentral:rRNA from 1 species
GAUGAACGCUGGCGGCGUGCCUAAUACAUGCAAGUCGAGCGAACAGACGAGGAGCUUGCUCCUCUGACGUUAGCGGUGGACGGGUGAGUAACACGUGGAUAACCUACCUAUCAGACUGGGAUAACUUCGGGACACCGGAGCUAAUACCGGAUAACAUGUUGAACCGCAUGGUUCAACAGUGAAAGACGGUCUUGCUGUCACUUAUCGAUGGAUCCGCGCCGCAUUAGCUAGUUGGUAAGGUAACGGCUUACCAAGGCAACGAUGCGUAGCCGACCUGAGAGGGUGAUCGGCCACACUGGAACUGAGACACGGUCCAGACUCCUACGGGAGGCAGCAGUAGGGAAUCUUCCGCAAUGGGCGAAAGCCUGACGGAGCAACGCCGCGUGAGUGAAGAAGGUCUUCGGAUCGUAAAACUCUGUUAUUAGGGAAGAACAAAUGUGUAAGUAACUAUGCACGUCUUGACGGUACCUAAUCAGAAAGCCACGGCUAACUACGUG